rnacentral:rRNA from 1 species
ACGGGAGGCAGCAGUGGGGAAUAUUGGGCAAUGGGCGCAAGCCUGACCCAGCAAUGCCGCGUGAAGGAUGAAGGUCUUCGGAUUGUAAACUUCUUUGAUUGGGGAAGAAUAAAUGACCUACCCAAAGAACAAGCUCCGGCUAACUACGUGCCAGCAGCCGCGGUAAUACGUAGGGAGCAAGCGUUAUCCGGAUUUACUGGGUGUAAAGGGCGUGUAGGCGGGACAUCAAGUCAGAUGUGAAAGCACGAGGCUCAACUUCGUGUCUGCAUUUGAAACUGACGUUCUUGAGUGUUGGAGAGGCUAACGGAACUCCUAGUGUAGCGGUGAAAUGCGUAGAUAUUAGGAAGAACACCAGUGGCGAAGGCGGUUAGCUGGACAAUAACUGACGCUGAGGCGCGAAAGCGUGGGUAGCAAACAGGAUUAGAUACCCUGGUA